GACGAACGCUGGCGGCGUGCUUAACACAUGCAAGUCGAACGAAGUGGCGAACGGGUGAGUAACGCGUAAUCAACCUGCCCUUCAGAGGGGGACAACAGUUGGAAACGACUGCUAAUACCGCAUACUGAAGGAGGGGAUUGCGUCUGAUUAGGUAGUUGGAGGGGUAACGGCCCACCAAGGCGAUGAUCAGUAGCCGGUCUGAGAGGGUGAACGGCCACAUUGGGACUGAGACACGGCCCAGACUCCUACGGGAGGCAGCAGUAGGGAAUCUUCGGCAAUGGGGGGAAGCCUGACCGAGCAACGCCGCGUGAGUGAAGAAGGUUUUCGGAUCGUAAAGCUCUGUUGUUAAGGAAGCGGUACCUAACCAGAAAGGGACGGCUAACUACGUGCCAGCAGCCGCGGUAAUUC
rnacentral:rRNA from 1 species